GAUGAACGCUGGCGGCGUGCCUAAUACAUGCAAGUCGAGCGAACGGACGAGAAGCUUGCUUUUCUGAUGUUAGCGGCGGACGGGUGAGUAACACGUGGAUAACCUACCUAUAAGACUGGGAUAACUUCGGGAAACCGGAGCUAAUACCGGAUAAUAUUUUGAACCGCAUGGUUCAAAAGUGAAAGACGGUCUUGCUGUCACUUAUAGAUGGAUCCGCGCUGCAUUAGCUAGUUGGUAAGGUAACGGCUUACCAAGGCAACGAUGCAUAGCCGACCUGAGAGGGUGAUCGGCCACACUGGAACUGAGACACGGUCCAGACUCCUACGGGAGGCAGCAGUAGGGAAUCUUCCGCAAUGGGCGAAAGCCUGACGGAGCAACACCGCGUGAGUGAUGAAGGUCUUCGGAUCGUAAAACUCUGUUAUUAGGGAAGAACAUAUGUGUAAGUAACUGUGCACAUCUUGACGGUACCUAAUCAGAAAGCCACGGCUAACUACGUG
rnacentral:rRNA from 1 species